rnacentral:rRNA from 1 species
CGAACGGUCGCGUAACACGUGGGCAACCUGCCCUGGAGCGGGGGACAACAUACCGAAAGGUGUGCUAAUACCGCAUAUGGUGGGGAUCGGCAUCGAUCCCUAACUAAAGAUUUAUCACUCCAGGAUGGGCCCGCGGCCUAUCAGCUAGUUGGUGGGGUAACGGCCUACCAAGGCUUCGACGGGUAGCUGGUCUGAGAGGACGAUCAGCCGGAUUGGGACUGAGAUACGGCCCAG